rnacentral:rRNA from 1 species
GACGAACGCUGGCGGCGUGCUUAACACAUGCAAGUCGAACGGAAAGGCCCUGCUUUUGUGGGGUGCUCGAGUGGCGAACGGGUGAGUAACACGUGAGUAACCUGCCCUUGACUUUGGGAUAACUUCAGGAAACUGGGGCUAAUACCGGAUAGGAGCUCCUGCUGCAUGGUGGGGGUUGGAAAGUUUCGGCGGUUGGGGAUGGACUCGCGGCUUAUCAGCUUGUUGGUGGGGUAGUGGCUUACCAAGGCUUUGACGGGUAGCCGGCCUGAGAGGGUGACCGGCCACAUUGGGACUGAGAUACGGCCCAGACUCCUACGGGGGGCAGCAGGGGGGAAUAUGGCACAAUGGGCGGAAGCCGGAUGCAGCAACGCCGCGUGCGGGAGGACGGCCUUCGGGUGGUAAACCGCUUUCGCCUGUGACGAAGCGUGGGUGACGGUAUGGGUAAAGAAGCACCGGCUAACUACGUG